rnacentral:rRNA from 1 species
AUGGAUCCACCACAGCGUAAUCGGGCAACUGGACGGAGAAAAGAGGGUGAUGAGAAGAAGAAACGUAUUCGCAACAGAGCCUCCCAAGAACGACUGACUGCGUUGACUGACAAAUUCACCGACGAUCAGAAGGGGGCUGCUGCUGAAAUGGGUAUGCAGUCUAUGAUGGAUGUCCGGUGCACGGACCUUGUCAACCCUGUAUGCGACUGGCUUGGUGAGAUCUACGACCCCGCCUCCAGGGAAUUCGUGAUUCUGGGACGUGGAAGACUACCGUUGAACGAGGAAUCCGUGUUCUGCACUUUGGGUGUGCCUCGUGGACAUAUGAAAGUCCCGUACGAGGUCAACAAUGAGAUCGAGGAAGCGCUGUUCCCCCGUUUGUUUCCUGGGUCUGAAUCCAUGCCAAACACGUCUGCAGUGGCAGAUUCGCUCAAGGCCAUGACGACGCAUGGAGAUAUUUUCAAGAUGAAGCUACUCAUGUACCUCAUCUCAGCUGUUUUCGCACCGACCACCUCUCUUCGCCCAAGCAACAAAUGCUUCCCCAUCCUGGUGAAUGAUUCAUCUUUACUACUUUAUUUUCCUUUGAUCUUUUUGGCUCCGAUGUCAUGUGUAAAGCAGAUCUGGGAAAUGUGA